GGGGUAGUUCAGUCGGUAGAGCAUGAGACCCUGAAUCUCAGGGACAUGGGUUUGAGCCCCAUGUUGGGCCA